GACGAACGCUGGCGGCGCGCUUAACACAUGCAAGUCGAACGGAAAGGCCUGCUUUCCCUUGUGGAUUGCGGGUACUCGAGUGGCGAACGGGUGAGUAACACGUGAGUGAUCUGCCCCCAACUUGGGUAUAAGCCUGGGAAACUGGGUCUAAUUCCCGAUAGGACUGCAGGGUGGUGCCUGUGGUGGAAAACGAUUUUCUAGUGGUUGGGGAUGAGCUCGCGGCCUGUCAGCUUGUUGGUGGGGUAAUGGCCUACCAAGGCGGCGACGGGUAGCCGGCCUGGGAGGGUGGACGGCCACAUUGGGACUGAGAUACGGCCCAGACUCCUACGGGAGGCAGCAGUGGGGAAUAUUGCACAAUGGGCGGAAGCCUGAUGCAGCGACGCCGCGUGGGGAUGACGGCCUUCGGGUUGUAAACUCCUUUCGACCGCGAGGAAGCCACCUGGUUGGAAGGGUGGUGACGGUAGUGGUAGAAGAAGCACCGGCUAACUACGUG
rnacentral:rRNA from 1 species